AUUUAUUGAAAUCAGAGCCAAUGCUAGCAGAGACACAGACUCCCAUACUCAAUAGUCAAAGGCCUGGUGCACUAUUUAUGCACAGGAGUUAGUGCUGCUGUGUUUGUGGUCUUAUGGCUACUUAUGCAUGCAGGGAUCAGGACUGCAGGUACUGCAAGGUCCAGCCUCACUUCAGUGCAUUUGUUAGGGAAAGGCAGCAAAGACACAUUGUUGUUCUGGAGAGCUGAGUCCUACUAUAGCAGGAGUGGUGCUCCUAGCAGCAGGCCCUUCUCAGGCUGAAGAGGUGUGCUGAUUGAUUUGCACACACGUGAGCAUUCAUCCAGCCACCUAAGAUCACAUUUUAAUGUGUUAUAUCACCAGAAUGUCUUCCUUGGGGAGAAACAUUCCUCCCACUCCUUCCAAACCCAAUAUUUUCUAUCAAUCAGCUUAAUUAUACUCUAAUCACAGUUUCAAAGUCUCACUCUCUAAAGCCCAGAUAACAUGUUCUCCAGGCGAUUCCAGCAAAAUACAUCAUAUAAAACGAAUGGGUAAUCCUACAGAAAUCUCUCUCUCCUAUUUCCCAAGACUGGGGACAAUUAUUAACAUCAGACCAGUCUUUGCCAGCUCACACAGAGCAUUCCCAGUACUGCACUGGUCACAUUCUUUAUCUCUGCAAUGCAAAGAGAAAAGACACAUUCCAAAUUAAUGCUGUGUGCUCACCUUGCAGUACUAGAAGAAGAAUGGAUUUGCUAGUCCUCUGGCCUUCCUCACUUCUUACAGGCUGGAGAGUGAAAGGGGUGUCUUUGGGGCUGCAAUAGGAAACCAAACUUGGAAUCUCCUCAGACAGCUGGUAUUGCUCAUUAUUAUCCCUGGAAAGGCUGCCAGGAGAGGUUUAACAGCCUCCACCCUUGGAGGUUUUCCAGAUCCAAAUAGACAGAGCCAUGAGUAGAGCAGUCUGAUCUCAGAGGGAACCUUGCUUGAGCUGGGCUUGGACUAGAGACCCCCUGGGCCCUCUUCCAGCCUCAGCCAUCUUCUGAUUCUGUGAAAGAAGCUAUGUUUUGAUAGUAUACAGAGGAGACUUUAGAGAAACCUGUGUGCUAUGUUCAUAAGCUUUCAAGGGGAAACACAAGCUUCAGUCUGCAUUGCCAC
rnacentral:lncRNA from 1 species